rnacentral:rRNA from 1 species
UACGUAGGGUGCGAGCGUUAAUCGGAAUUACUGGGCGUAAAGCGUGCGCAGGCGGUCGUUCAAGUCGAAUGUGAAAGCCCCCGGCUCAACUGGGGAGGGUCAUUCGAUACUGUUCGACUCGAAGGCAGGAGAGGGAAGCGGAAUUCCCGGUGUAGUGGUGAAAUGCGUAGAUAUCGGGAGGAACACCAGUGGCGAAGGCGGCUUCCUGGCCUGUUCUUGACGCUGAGGCGCGAAAGCUAGGGGAGCAAACGGG